ensembl:lncRNA
GGAGGGUGGAAUCUUUACCUAGGGUUUUGGAUCGAGGCAAAAGCACAUCACUCUCUUCGUUUUCUCAUCUUGGACAUUUACAGAGUGUGACCCAGCAAGCCCGGCGGGAAACAAACUAACACUGCAAGGGAAACCCAGCCACAAAGCCACUCAACUUUUCCAGUGUGGUCCAAACGCCAUUCUUGGCAUCUGGGGCGCCCUGGCUUCCCUGCCGCCUUUGUCCUCGCGCGCCCACCGUGCUCGCCUUCCUGGCGCACGGUCGCCAGCGCGGGCGGGCAGCCUGUCGCUCAUCCGUCGCUCAUCUGCCACCAAGCGCUCUCUGCAGCCACUCGCUGCCAUUCCGACGGGAGGUGGAGAUGAAUAAGAAGCCUCUGGUCUAAGACAGCAGACACCGAAUGCUCCCAUGAGAUAGUACAAUCACAGAGGUACGAAGAGCGCACUGUGGGAAGUCAGCGGAGAAUGAGUUUCAGCGUCUGCAAGGAUCAGGAAAUGUUUCCCACAUAUGCUGAUCACUGUACCGGGUCAUAAAGGAUGAAGAAGAAUUGCUCAAGGGGAGAAGGUCAUGCCAGGCAUGGAUGGAAAAUAAAGCUGAAGUGAGAGGAGGAAAAGUAGGACAGGUGGAGACGAAAGGAAGGAGUCCAAUGGGAUUGAUAGAAAAGAGAGAAUAAACAAAAGGGGAAAAGCGACAUGGACGAGAGUGAAAAGAGGCAUUAGUAAGCAUCUCUGCUGCUCCUGGGCUGCACCCAUGCCGCCACUAACCAGGCUCACUCCCAGGGCAAACACCAUCAUGACUAUAUCCAUCUCACCAAAAGUUGCUGACCUUCAGGAAACACUGUAAAGUGACUUAGAAUGUUCACAAUGUGCCACAAAGGACAUACGGCAGAUACAAGAGAAGGAUAAAAAGACCGAGGCAUUGAAAAAGUUUGGGAGAAAAUACUUUGAAAUGAUAUUAGCUGUAAUCUAUCAUCUAUGGGUGAUACGAUUAUGAAUGAUUUUAAUUUUUUUUUUACUUAUGUGGAGUUUCUAAUCUACAGUGGGCAUGAAUACUUAUGUAUAAACUAAUGGGCUACUUAUUGAGUGAUUCUUAAAUAAACACAUUCUAAUAAAAAGGUUUAAGUUCAUGAUAAUGGUUUGUGAUCUGUAUUGGAAAGGUGAGGGUAAAAAACUAGGAUUA